rnacentral:rRNA from 1 species
AUUGAACGCUGGCGGCAGGCCUAACACAUGCAAGUCGAACGAGUGUCGGUCGGGUGAGUAAUGUCUGGGCAACUGCCCGCUGGCUGGUGAUAAGUACUGGAAACGGUAGCUAAUACCGCAUACCAUCGGAUGUGCCCAGAUGGGAUUAGCUAGUAGGUGGGGUAACGUCUCACAUUGGCUACGCUCCCUAGCUGGUCUGAGAGGAUGAACAGCCACAGGGGAACUGAGACACGGUCCAGACCCCUACGGGAGGAAGCAGUGGGGAAUAUUGGAAAAGGGGCGAAAGCCGGAUGCAGCAAGGCCGCGUGUAUGAAGAGGGCCUUCGGGUUGUAAAGUACUUUCAGCGAGGAGGCGUUAAUCGCAGAAGAAGCACCGGCUAACUACGUGCCAGCCGCCGCGGUAAUUC